rnacentral:rRNA from 1 species
AACGUAGGAGGCAAGCGUUAUCCGGAGUUACUGGGCGUAAAGAGUGCGUAGGCGGACGUGUAAGUGGGUGGUGAAAGCGCCCGGCUAAACCGGGCGAGGUCCAUUCAGACUGCAGGUCUAGAGGCGGAUAGAGGGGUGCGGAAUUCCGGGUGUAGCGGUGAAAUGUGUAGAGAUCCGGAGGAACACCAGUGGUGCAAACGGCGCCCUGGGUCCGAACUGACGCUGAAGCACGAAAGCGUGGGGAGCGAACGGG